rnacentral:rRNA from 1 species
GAUGAACGCUGGCGGCGUGCCUAAUACAUGCAAGUCGAGCGAACAGACGAGGAGCUUGCUCCUCUGACGUUAGCGGCGGACGGGUGAGUAACACGUGGAUAACCUACCUAUAAGACUGGGAUAACUUCGGGAAACCGGAGCUAAUACCGGAUAAUAUAUUGAACCGCAUGGUUCAAUAGUGAAAGACGGUUUUGCUGUCACUUAUAGAUAGAUCCGCGCCGCAUUAGCUAGUUGGUAAGGUAACGGCUUACCAAGGCGACGAUGCGUAGCCGACCUGAGAGGGUGAUCGGCCACACUGGAACUGAGACACGGUCCAUACUCCUACGGGAGGCAGCAGUAGGGAAUCUUCCGCAAUGGGCGAAAGCCUGACGGAGCAACGCCGCGUGAGUGAUGAAGGUCUUCGGAGCGUAAAACUCUGUUAUUAGGGAAGAACAAAUGUGUAAGUAACUAUGCACGUCUUGACGGUACCUAAUCAGAAAGCCACGGCUAACUACGUG